GUAGGGAAUAUUGCAAAAUGGGCGAAAGCCCGAUGCAGCAACGCCGCGUGGGCGAUGAAGGCCUUCGGGUCGUAAAGCCCUUUUUGAGGGGAUGAGGAAGGACAGUACCCUCAGAAUAAGCCUCGGCUAACUACGUGCCAGCAGCCGCGGUAAAACGUAGGAGGCGAGCGUUAUCGGGAUUUACUGGGCGUAAAGCGCGUGCAGGCGGAUUGGAGAGUUGGAUGUGAAAGCUCCCGGCUUAACUGGGAGAGGUCGUUCAAUACUUCCAGUCUUGAGUGCAGUAGAGGGAAGUGGAAUUCCGGGUGUAGUGGUGAAAUGCGUAGAUAUCCGGAGGAACACCAGUGGCGAAAGCGGCUUCCUGGACUGUAACUGACGCUCAGACGCGAAAGCUAGGGUAGCAAACG
rnacentral:rRNA from 1 species